GACGAACCGAGCGAACGUUAUUCGGAAUCACUGGGCUUAAAGGGUGCGUAGGCGGGCACGCGAGUCAGGGGUGAAAUCCCACGGCCCAACCGUGGAAGUGCCUCUGAUACCGCGAGCCUCGAGGGGGAUAGGGGCGUGCGGAACUUCCGGUGGAGCGGUGAAAUGCGUAGAUAUCGGAAGGAACACCGGUGGCGAAAGCGGCGCGCUGGAUCCCUACUGACGCUGAGGCACGAAAGCCAGGGGAGCAACGGG
rnacentral:rRNA from 1 species